CAAAAGUAGCUAGCAGCACUAACUCCAAAAGUCGCUAAAAGUCGCCAAAUGACGUUAUACGCUCAUUUGCAUAUUGGCAACAUCAUCACACAUAUAUUUGCAUAAAGCUUCUGUCGGUUGCAGUGAGGGAGAGACUGCCUGCACAUGGCCCAAAAGGAGAGAGAGAGAGACCGGGUGCUGCUGGUGGAAGAGCCGUGGACUACCAUUACUCUGAGCAGCAACAUUUUAAAGACGAACAUACAUCCAACGAUGAAAACCUGAGCAAGAACUUCUCUGACGGGUUUGGGCUGGCCGCUCGUGGGGCCUACGCUAUGGCUAUAGCUGCUGAUGCAGACUUGAGCAUCCGGAGAGUAUCUUUAUCUCUUUUCCUCUCUCCCAGAUGGUUGGAGAUAGCAGCUCUCCAGUUGCUGACAUAGAACGGUCCCCUGUUCUUUGUUUCCACUGGUGACAGGCAGAGCGGAUGGCGGCUUUUCUUUUUUCAGUGGGUGAGAUAUGAUUGUGCAGCACUCUCCCACACACACACGCACACGCAAACACACACACACACACACACACACACACACACACACACACACACACCAAGGACACAAGAAGUCAUCCAUAUAGCCUCCCUCUAUGUGUUUACACCUCCUUGUGAGAGCCGGAGUGUGUGCAUCUGAUUGGUCGCCUUUUUGCAAGAGUGGUUUGUUUAUGAUACUCACCUUUGUGUGUGUGUGUGUGUGUGUGUGUGUCCUGUACUUAAAGUCAGACAGGAAGAGAAAAGUAGUACCAGUAGUACCCUAGCCCACACACACACACACACACACACACACACACACAAGUUGUCAUGAGACUGUCAGCAAUGGCUUUGGCUGCAGCUCCUGCGGGCAUGUGGUCUUGCCACCUAUAAUCUACAAUGAGCAGAAAUGAGUUUCCUUUGUAGACGCCGCCUUUCCUGCCCUGGACACACACAUACUGUAUUUACUCUCUCUCUGUCUCUUUCCCUUCCUCUCUCUCUCUUUUUUACACACACUCACACACCUAAUCAUAUAUGCAGCUGGUGUAAUAAUAAGGCAGUAGUGGAAUAACUACUGAGACAGGGUGAUAUUUCACAACCCCAAUAAUUGGAUACGUCUCUAUUCCCUAAUUACUAACUAAAUCAUAUACGCUGCAGCGCCAUGCCACGCAGAUGAAACACACUGACACACACACACACAUUCAGCUGUCCAGCAAAUUUGUGCACAAGUGUGUUCAGACACCAAUGUGUCCGUCCGUGACUCACAUGUCAUCCAUGUAUGUAAACAGUCUUUUUCUCUCUGUCUAUUGCACAAGCUGAUGUUUUCUGCAACACCGUAAUGUGUGUUUAUAGACAGUUAAAGUGAGAAAGUGUUGGUUAUCUAUAUGCAUUAUAAAGGGUGUGUCUUUUGAGGAGAAGCAGCACUACAUGAAGUCAUAAACCCUUGAGGCACGAGAUGGGUGUUUUGUGUUAGAGCUGAUGUCAGCACACAGAAAAGGACAGUGUGUCAUGUCAACGUUUUAAAGACCUGUACCACCUGUAUAUCACUUCAUGUGCUGGUGGUGUUUCCACAUUCUAUUCUGUAAAUCACCAAACCAUUAAAAGA